rnacentral:misc_RNA from 1 species
CGCAUAUUGCACCUUGGAGUAUUCUUUAAGGUAUACCUGUUCGAGCGUCGUUUAGAACAAUUAAAGCAAUGCUUUUUGAUGGAUUUUGAAUUAUGAAAAUUUUCUUGAUCUAUUUGAUUAAGGAAUUGAAGAGUUCAAUAUCUCAAACAUAGUGGUGUACUCGUUAGCUUGUGCAAAAUACAGUGAAAAUGUAUAGUAAAAGCCUAAACGAAUAUACGCCGGUUUAUACUUACGGUUUCGAUCCAAUGAAUUGACUGCCGUUGAUAUAAAUCCUUCAAUUUCAAAAUUUGUUCGACCUCGAAUCAAGUAAGACUACCCGCUGAACUUAA